CUUAAAGAUGUCCCGUUUUACUGCUGACCUAAACAGAUCCAUUUGACCCCAUAAAAGAGCGUCCGUGGGAUGUCUCAGUCAACCAAGAAAAAAGACCCAGAGGACCAGAAGGCCUGAAGACAUACAUCUUAAAGAGACUCCUUGAAUCAUUUAUUCCUCAUGGAGCAUUUUGAAGACAUUUUAAGACUGGAUGACAUACAAUUUUC